rnacentral:sRNA from 1 species
AAUAACUCAUUAGGGUUCAUGGGUUGAGUUGAGUUGAGUUGACCCAUGAAUUUUGACCCAUUUUGACACCCCUAAUGAUGAUAAUGAGAUUAUUAGUGGAUCUUCAUCUCCUUGAUCAAAUGGGGUAAAUAAAUCU